rnacentral:rRNA from 1 species
CGAGAGUAACUAUGGUUAAUUUAACACGAAACAAGUUGAGCUAACUACCUAUAGGUUUUAGUAGGCGUACAUAAUAUGUCGCAAAAUAUUAUAAAAAUAGGUAGUUAGGGGUGAUAGGCCAAGCAAAAAUUGUGAUAUCUUGAUCUUAGGAAAAUGUAUAUAGUAACUAAGCAGCUAAGGAGUGAUAAGGCUCUUUAGAAAAAUAAAAUACCAUUUGUAAAAUUUAUAGCCUUAACAGGCGAUAUCACCUAAAUGUAGCACAGCUUUGUGUUUAUUUAUUUCCACUACCUAAGGCCUAAACUUUUGCAGAUACAUAAUGUUAACAUGAGUAAAUUAUUAGUUUGGUAUAAUGAACUCGGCAAGAAACCUCUCGACUGUUUACCAAAAACAUAGCUGCGUGAUAUAACGCGCAGUUUUUUCUGCUCAAUGAUUUUAAAUAGCCGCAGUACUCUGACUGUGCAAAGGUAGCAUAAUCAUUUGGCUUAUAAUUGAAGUCUGGAAUGAAUGAAUAAACGGGGGGUGACUCUAUCUUACCAAUAUUACGAAAUUAUUUAGUAAGUGAAAAUACUUACACUUAAAUAAUAGACGAGAAGACCCUAGAAAUUUAAAAUGACUUUUGUUGGGGCGACAUAGUAGCAAUUUAACCUACUAUUAAUACAAGUGCUUGAUUUAAGGGUGUGGGUAAUUACUCUAGGGAUAACAGCAUAAUUUAUUAGAGAUUGUGACCUCGAUGUUGGACUAGGAAAUUUUAGUCCAAAAGACAAAGAAUAUUGCUCUGUUCGAGC